rnacentral:rRNA from 1 species
UGGGGAAUAUUGCACAAUGGGGGAAACCCUGAUGCAGCAACGCCGCGUGCGGGAUGACGGCCUUCGGGUUGUAAACCGCUUUCAGCCAUGACGAAGCUUUUGUGACGGUAGUGGCAGAAGAAGCACCGGCUAACUACGUGCCAGCAGCCGCGGUGAUACGUAGGGUGCGAGCGUUGUCCGGAAUUAUUGGGCGUAAAGAGCUUGUAGGCGGUUUGUCGCGUCGAAAGUGUAAACUCAGUGCUUCACGCUGAGCCUGCUUUCGAUACGGGCUGACUAGAGGAAGGUAGGGGAGAAUGGAAUUCCCGGUGGAGCGGUGGAAUGCGCAGAUAUCGGGAGGAACACCAGUGGCGAAGGCGGUUCUCUGGACCUUUCCUGACGCUGAGAAGCGAAAGCGUGGGUAGCAAACAGG